CGCAAUCUGUGAGGACAGGGACCCCCCAGCCACGCAGCCCCAGGAGACCCAGGGCCCCCCGGCCAGGCCCAUCACUGUCCAGCCCACUGAAGCCUGGCCCAGAACCUCACAGGGACCCUCCACCCGGCCCGUGGAGGUCCCCGGGGGCCGUGCGGUUGCCGCCAUCCUGGGCCUGGGCCUGGUGCUGGGGCUGCUGGGCCCCCUGGCCAUCCUGCUGGCCCUGUACCUGCUCCGGAGGGACCAGAGGCUGCCCCCCGAUGCCCACAAGCCCCCUGGGGGAGGCAGUUUCCGGACCCCCAUCCAAGAGGAGCAGGCCGACGCCCACUCCACCCUGGCCAAGAUCUGACCUGGGCCCACCAAGGUGGACGCUGGGCCCCGCCAGGCUGGAGCCCGGAGGGUCUGCUGGGCGAGCAGGGCAGGUGCAGGCCGCCUGCCCCGCCACGCUCCUGGGCCAACUCUGCACCGUUCUAGGUGCCGAUGGCUGCCUCCGGCUCUCUGCUUACGUAUGCCAUGCAUACCUCCUGCCCCGCGGGACCACAAUAAAAACCUU
rnacentral:lncRNA from 1 species